rnacentral:rRNA from 1 species
AUUGAACGCUGGCGGCAUGCCUUACACAUGCAAGUCGAACGAUAACAGGUCUUCGGAUGCUGACGAGUGGCGAACGGGUGAGUAAUACAUCGGAACGUGCCCGAUCGUGGGGGAUAACGGAGCGAAAGCUUUGCUAAUACCGCAUACGAUCUACGGAUGAAAGCAGGGGACCGCAAGGCCUUGCGCGGACGGAGCGGCCGAUGGCAGAUUAGGUAGUUGGUGGGAUAAAAGCUUACCAAGCCGACGAUCUGUAGCUGGUCUGAGAGGACGACCAGCCACACUGGGACUGAGACACGGCCCAGACUCCUACGGGAGGCAGCAGUGGGGAAUUUUGGACAAUGGGCGAAAGCCUGAUCCAGCCAUGCCGCGUGCAGGAUGAAGGCCUUCGGGUUGUAAACUGCUUUUGUACGGAACGAAAAGACUCUUUCUAAUAAAGAGGGUCCAUGACGGUACCGUAAGAAUAAGCACCGGCUAACUACGUG